GACGAACGCUGGCGGCGUGCUUAACACAUGCAAGUCGAACGAAGUGGCGAACGGGUGAGUAACGCGUAAUCAACCUGCCCUUCAGAGGGGGACAACAGUUGGAAACGACUGCUAAUAUCGCAUACUGAAGGCGGGGACUUCGUGUGAUUAGCUAGUUGGAGGGGUAACGGCCCACCAAGGCGAUGAUCAGUCGCCGGGCUGAGUAGGUGAACGGCCACACUGGGAUGGGUAAACGGGCCAAGCUCCUAACGGAGGCAGCAGUGGGGGAUCGUCCGCAAUGGACGAAAGUCUGGCGGGGCAACGCCGCGUGAAUGAUGACGGCCUUCGGGUUGUAAAGCUCUGUUAAUCGGGACGCGGUACCGGAAUAGAAAGCCACGGCUAACUACGUGCCAGCAGCCGCGGUAAUAC
rnacentral:rRNA from 1 species